rnacentral:rRNA from 1 species
GUCUACAGCCAUACCACCCUGUACGCUCCCAAUCUCGUCUGAUCGCGGAAGCUAAGCAGGGUCGGGCCUGGUUAGUACUUGGAUGAGAGAAAAUGAUGCUAGAGAAA